rfam:Stachybotrys chlorohalonata IBT 40285 unplaced genomic scaffold scaffold1189, whole genome shotgun sequence.
GUCUUCGUAUGAUGAAAUAUUGCGGAUGUAAACAAUUGUCAUUUGUCGGAAUGCGCAAACCCAUGUCGAGAUUUCCGUUGCCUUCCUUCUGAUAUGAAGC